rnacentral:rRNA from 1 species
AUUGAACGCUGGCGGCAUGCUUUACACAUGCAGGUCGAACGGCAGCGCGGGCUUCGGCCUGGCGGCGAGUGGCGAACGGGUGAGUAAUACAUCGGAACGUGCCCAGUAGUGGGGGAUAGCUCGGCGAAAGCCGGAUUAAUACCGCAUACGACCUGAGGGUGAAAGCGGGGGAUCUUCGGACCUCGCGCUAUUGGAGCGGCCGAUGGCAGAUUAGCUAGUUGGUGGGGUAAAGGCCUACCAAGGCGACGAUCUGUAGCUGGUCUGAGAGGACGACCAGCCACACUGGGACUGAGACACGGCCCAGACGCCUACGGGAGGCAGCAGUGGGGAAUUUUGGACAAUGGGCGAAAGCCUGAUCCAGCAAUGCCGCGUGUGUGAUGAAGGCCUUCGGGUUGUAAAGCACUUUUGGCGGGAACGAAAAGGACUGUGCCAAUACCACGGUUCGAUGACGGUACCCGCAGAAUAAGCACCGGCUAACUACGUG